CUCGUCCUCACUCCGAUUCGCCGGUAGUCAUCGUCAUCGGUGAGCACUAUGACACUGUCGCGAAUUGGGGUGAUUAGAGC
rnacentral:pre_miRNA from 1 species